rnacentral:rRNA from 1 species
GACGGGCCCGCACAAGCAGCGGAGCGUGUGGUUUAAUUCGAUGAUACACGAAGAACCUUACCAGGGUUUGACAUGCUAGUGGUAGGGAUCCGAAAGGUGACCGACCCUCGGGGAGCUAGCACAGGUGCUGCAUGGCUGUCGUCAGCUCGUGUCGUGAGAUGUUCGGUUAAGUCCGCUAACGAGCGCAACCCUUGCUGUGUGUUACAUGUGUCACACGGGACUGCCGGUCUUAAACCGGAGGAAGGUGGGGAUGACGUCAAGUCAGCAUGGCCUUUAUGUCCUGGGCUACACACACGCUACAAUGGCCGGUACAAUAGGUUGCGAAGCCGCGAGGCGGAGCCAAUCCUCAAAGCCGGCCUCAGUUCAGAUUGCAGGCUGCAACCCGCCUGCAUGAAGAUGGAGUUGCUAGUAACCGCAGGUCAGCUAUACUGCGGUGAAUACGUUCCCGGGGCUU